rfam:Angiostrongylus cantonensis strain Taiwan genome assembly, scaffold: ACAC_scaffold0002153
CCAACGGCCCUCUUUAGGGCCACAACCAUUGUUGAAUACAUUAACU